rnacentral:rRNA from 1 species
CAAGUCGAGCGCCCCGCAAGGGGAGCGGCAGACGGGAGAGUAACACGUGGGAACGUACCCUUCAGUUCGGAACAACCCAGGGGAAACUUGGGCUAAUACCGGAUACGUCCGUAAGGAGAAAGAUUUAUCGCUGAAGGAUCGGCCCGCGUCUGAUUAGCUAGUUGGUGGGGUAACGGCCCACCAAGGCGACGAUCAGUAGCUGGUCUGAGAGGAUGAUCAGCCUCACUGGGACUGAGACACGGCCCAGACUCCUACGGGAGGCAGCAGUGGGGAAUAUUGGACAAUGGGCGCAAGCCUGAUCCAGCCAUGCCGCGUGGAUGAUGAAGGCCCUAGGGUUGUAAAGUCCUUUCGGCGGGGAAGAUAAUGACGGUACCCGCAGAAGAAGCCCCGGCUAACUUCGUGCCAGCAGCCGCGGUAAUACGAAGGGGGCUAGCGUUGCUCGGAAUCACUGGGCGUAAAGCGCACGUAGGCGGCUUUUUAAGUCGGUGGUGAAAUCCUGGAGCUCAACUCCAGAACUGCCUCCGAUACUGAAAGGCUCGAGUCCGGGAGAGGUGAGUGGAACUGCNAGUGUAGAGGUGAAAUUCGUAGAUAUUCGCAAGAACACCAGUGGCGAAGGCGGCUCACUGGCCCGGUACUGACGCUGAGGUGCGAAAGCGUGGGGAGCAACAGGAUUAGAUACCCUGGUAGUCCACGCCGUAAACGAAUGGAUGCUAGCCGUUGGCAGGCUUGCCUGUCAGUGGCGCACCUAACGCAUUAAGCAUCCCGCCUGGGGAGUACGGUCGCCAGAUUAAAACUCAA